rnacentral:rRNA from 1 species
UACGUAGGUGGCAAGCGUUGUCCGGAUUUAUUGGGUUUAAAGGGUGCGUAGGCGGCCUAUUAAGUCAGUGCUGAAAUAUCCCGGCUUAACCGGGAGGGUGGCAUUGAUACUGAUGGGCUUGAGUAUAGUCGAGGUAGGCGGAAUUGACGGUGUAGCGGUGAAAUGCUUAGAUAUCGUCAAGAACACCGAUAGUGCAGACAGCUUACUAGGCUAAAACUGACGCUGAGGCACGAAAGUGUGGGGAUCAAACAGG